rnacentral:rRNA from 1 species
AGCGAACGCUGGCGGCGGCCUAACACAUGCAAGUCGAACGGACCCUUCGGGGUUAGUGGCGGACGGGUGAGUAACACGUGGGAACGUGCCUUUAGGUUCGGAAUAGCUCCUGGAAACGGGUGGUAAUGCCGAAUGUGCCCUUCGGGGGAAAGAUUUAUCGCCUUUAGAGCGGCCCGCGUCUGAUUAGCUAGUUGGUGAGGUAAAGGCUCACCAAGGCGACGAUCAGUAGCUGGUCUGAGAGGAUGAUCAGCCACAUUGGGACUGAGACACGGCCCAAACUCCUACGGGAGGCAGCAGUGGGGAAUCUUGCGCAAUGGGCGAAAGCCUGACGCAGCCAUGCCGCGUGAAUGAUGAAGGUCUUAGGAUUGUAAAAUUCUUUCACCGGGGACGAUAAUGACGGUACCCGGAGAAGAAGCCCCGGCUAACUUCGUGCCAGCCGCCGCAGUAAGAC